CCCGGCUAACAUUUGCAAGCGUUUAUCUGUCCUGUUGUUUUCUUGGUAUCUGACCCUAGACUGUUUAUUGACUCCUGUUUGCUCGUCUGCCGCCUGCCCCGACCUCCGUCUGGCUAAUAAAUAUACUGCAAAUGGAUCCGAACGUCUCUGACUCUGCAUCACAGAAGACUUCGCCAACACAGGAUCCAGCAGCCAUGUAUCGUCUCACCGCCGAGGUAUCAUCCUUAAACCUCAAUGCUGGCCGCUCACCAGCAACAACUAAGGGGGACGCCUAUCGAGUUCAGGAGAUUCUCGACUCAAGACGCUGAGGGAGGGAAUUACAGUACUUAAUUGACUGGGAGGGGUUUGGUCCAGAGGAAAGAUCCUGGGUGAGAUCACAGGACAUCCUGGAUCCCGCACUCACCACUGCGUUUCAUCGAAAUCACCCUGAAAGGCCUGCCCCCAGACCCUGUGGAAGACCUCGGCGUCGCGCUGGUCCUCGCUUCAGGAGCCGCUCGCAGGGAGGGGUCUCCGUCACAGAAUCAGUGUCUUUGUAUGAAUCUGUUAAAUGAUUGACUCAAAUGAUUCACUCAUAAAGACAGUCACGUGUCACCACCUACUGGUGUAACUAUGUAACUUGUAGAAAGAGUCAGUGUAGAAUCUCCACUUAGACUGACAGUCUGUCUGGAACAAACACACACAAGCGGAGCGACACAAACUGUCCCAGUCCCAAUGUAUAUCAGGACUUCUGUUUGACCAAUCAGAUUCAACUGCUGGUCAUAUAUAACACACUCAGUAUUUAUUGCUACAUAGGAAUGUAUUCUCAAAGACAUAGAAAUGACAACAGAAGAAAACACACAGAGAUGCAACCUGUCCUGUCUUAACCUCUGUGUGUGUGUGUGUGUGUGCUGGCCUGUCUGCUGUGUAAUUUCCAUGUCUAGGUUUUGUUUGGUCCGUUGGGUUUGUUUAGUGGACAUGUCUCUAAGGAAAGUUCUUCAGAGAAAUACGACAGUGCUGUGUUGUGUUCAGUACUGUCCGUCCACCUUAUAAUUUUCAGUGUUGUGUGGAUGGAUGUUAUGUUUGCAGCUCAUUUCCAAGUUUCCCCAAUGCAAAAGCUGCAGAACAAAUUCAUCCAGAAGCAAAUAUGGAGAAUUUGUCUGUAACAGACAGACAGACGUCUGAUGAAGGAGAUCUGAUGCUGUUGAGCUCCAGCUGCAAUUAGAUGUUUAGUGUGACUCUCAUAUCUUCAGCAACAUGCCAGAGAGAUCCACACUAACAGCCUUCAGAGACGAGAGAGAGAGAGACAGAGAG
ensembl:lncRNA